GAUGAAGAACGCAGCGAAAUGUGAUAAGUAAUGUGAAUUGCAGAAUUCAGUGAAUCAUCGAAUCUUUGAACGCACAUUGCGCCCGCCAGUAUUCUGGCGGGCAUGCCUGUUCGAGCGUCAUUUCAACCCUCAGGCCCCCAGUGCCUGGUGUUGGGGAUCGGCCCAGCCUUCCUGUAAGGCCGCCGGCCCCGAAAUCUAGUGGCGGUCUCGCUGUAGUCCUCCUCUGCGUAGUAGCACAACCUCGCAGUUGGAACGCGGCGGUGGCCAUGCCGUUAAACACCCCACUUCUGAAAGUUGACCUCGGAUCAGGUAGGAAUACCCGCUGAACUUAAGCAUAUCAAUAAGCGGAGGA
rnacentral:misc_RNA from 1 species